rnacentral:rRNA from 1 species
UACGAAGGGAGCUAGCGUUGUUCGGAAUCACUGGGCGUAAAGCGCACGUAGGCGGAUGUGUCAGUCAGGGGUGAAAUCCCGGAGCUCAACUUCGGAACUGCCUUUGAUACAGCACGUCUUGAGUCCGAUAGAGGUGGGUGGAAUUCCUAGUGUAGAGGUGAAAUUCGUAGAUAUUGGGAAGAACACCAGUGGCGAAGGCGGCAUCCUGGACCAAUAUUGACGCUGAGGAGCGAAAGCCAGGGGAGCAAACGGG